CUACGGGUGGCUCCAGUGGGGAAUAUUGCACAAUGGGCGCAAGCCUGAUGCAGCCAUGCCGCGUGUAUGAAGAAGGCCUUCGGGUUGUAAAGUACUUUCAGCGGGGAGGAAGGGAGUAAAGUUAAUACCUUUGCUCAUUGACGUUACCCGCAGAAGAAGCACCGGCUAACUCCGUGCCAGCAGCCGCGGUAAUACGGAGGGUGCAAGCGUUAAUCGGAAUUACUGGGCGUAAAGCGCACGCAGGCGGUUUGUUAAGUCAGAUGUGAAAUCCCCGGGCUCAACCUGGGAACUGCAUCUGAUCAUGGCAAGCUUGAGUCUCGUAGAGGGGGGUAGAAUUCCAGGUGUAGCGGUGAAAUGCGUAGAGAUCUGGAGGAAUACCGGUGGCGAAGGCGGCCCCCUGGACGAAGACUGACGCUCAGGUGCGAAAGCGUGGGGAGCAAACAGGAUUAGAUACCCCGGUAGUC
rnacentral:rRNA from 1 species